CCCCUAGAUGUUCUGGGCCGCACGCGCGCUACACUGAACAGUUCAACAAGUCUUAACCUUGGCCGAUAGGUCUGGGUAAUCUUUGAACGCUGUUCGUGAUUGGGAUAGACCAUUGCAAUUAUUAAUCUUCAACGAGGAAUGCCUAGUAAGCGCAAGUCAUCAGCUUGCGUUGAUUACGUCCCUGCCCUUUGUACACACCGCCCGUCGCUCCUACCGAUUGAAUGGUCCGGUGAAGCGUUCGGACCGUGGCCUUUGGACGGUUCGCCGUCUGUUGGCUGCGGGAAGUUCGUUAAACCUUAUCAUUUAGAGGAAGGAGAANUCGUANCA
rnacentral:rRNA from 1 species